rnacentral:rRNA from 1 species
GUGGGGAAUCUUCCGCAAUGGACGAAAGUCUGACGGAGCAACGCCGCGUGAGUGAUGAAGGUCUUCGGAUUGUAAAGCUCUGUUAAUCGGGACGAAAGAGCCUAGUGUGAAUAAUGCUAGGAAGUGACGGUACCGGAAUAGAAAGCCACGGCUAACUACGUGCCAGCAGCCGCGGUAAUACGUAGGUGGCAAGCGUUGUCCGGAAUUAUUGGGCGUAAAGCGCGCGCAGGCGGAUCUGCCAGUCUGUCUUAAAAGUUCGGGGCUUAACCCCGUGAUGGGAUGGAAACUACAGAUCUAGAGUAUCGGAGAGGAAAGUGGAAUUCCUAGUGUAGCGGUGAAAUGCGUAGAUAUUAGGAAGAACACCAGUGGCGAAGGCGACUUUCUGGACGAAAACUGACGCUGAGGCGCGAAAGCCAGGGGAGCGAACGGGAUUGGAUACCCGAGUAGUCC